rnacentral:rRNA from 1 species
UACGAGGGGGGCAAAUGUUGUUCGGAAUCACUGGGCGUAAAGGGAGCGUAGGCGGGUUUUUAAGUUAGGUGUUUAAUCCCGGGGCCCAACCCCGGACCGGCACUUAAAACUGGGAAUCUUGAAUAGUGGAGAGGUCAGUGGAAUUGGGGGUGUAGCGGUGGAAUGCGUAGAGAUCCCCAAGAACACCAGUUGCGAAGGCGGCUGACUGGACACAUAUUGACGCUGAGGCUCGAAAGCAUGGGGAGCAAACAGG